rnacentral:rRNA from 1 species
AACGAGCGCUGGCGGCAUGCCUAAUACAUGCAAGUCGAACGAGAUCUUCGGAUCUAGUGGCGCACGGGUGCGUAACGCGUGGGAAUCUGCCCUUGGGUUCGGAAUAACUUCUGGAAACGGAAGCUAAUACCGGAUGAUGACGUAAGUCCAAAGAUUUAUCGCCCAAGGAUGAGCCCGCGUAGGAUUAGGUAGUUGGUGAGGUAAAGGCUCACCAAGCCGACGAUCCUUAGCUGGUCUGAGAGGAUGAUCAGCCACACUGGGACUGAGACACGGCCCAGACUCCUACGGGAGGCAGCAGUAGGGAAUAUUGGACAAUGGGCGAAAGCCUGAUCCAGCAAUGCCGCGUGAGUGAUGAAGGCCUUAGGGUUGUAAAGCUCUUUUACCCGGGAUGAUAAUGACAGUACCGGGAGAAUAAGCUCCGGCUAACUCCGUG